GGUUGUGAGGAUUAAAUUAGAUAUCUGGGAACGAGUCCUGGCCAGCGAAUGGUAGGUUCGCCCAAGUCCAGUUAAAAGGCCGUGCGCCCAGGGCAAGGCGUCUUCAGGGCCAGCAAGUCCCAGGGUAUUUACCCCCAGCCCUCCCACGAUCAAGGCUGGAGCCAAAGGACUCAUGUUUUGAGGGGAAAAUUCCAGCUUCAUCUAGAAGCAUGUGCAUGUGUGCAUGUAUGUGGUGGGGGAAGGUCCAUGACUUUUGAGUCAG
rnacentral:lncRNA from 1 species